AUCGUAGUCAGCGUGACUAGCUCCUGCUGAACUCCCCCAGGGUCGGAAGGCAGCAAGGGUAGGUGGUUGAGCGGUGUAUUGCUGGCUACAUUUUUU
rnacentral:SRP_RNA from 1 species